rnacentral:rRNA from 1 species
AAUAAUACCCAGGUAGUCCACGCCGUAAACGAUGAGUGCUAAGUGUUAGAGGGCUUCCACCCUUUAGUGCUGCAGCUAACGCAUUAAGCACUCCGCCUGGGGAGUACGGCCGCAAGGCUGAAACUCAAAGGAAUUGACGGGGGCCCGCACAAGCGGUGGAGCAUGUGGUUUAAUUCGAAGCAACGCGAAGAACCUUACCAGGUCUUGACAUCCUUCGCUACCUCUAGAGAUAGAGGGUUCCCCUUCGGGGGACGGAGUGACAGGUGGUGCAUGGUUGUCGUCAGCUCGUGUCGUGAGAUGUUGGGUUAAGUCCCGCAACGAGCGCAACCCUUGACCUUAGUUGCCAGCAUUCAGUUGGGCACUCUAAGGUGACUGCCGGUGACAAACCGGAGGAAGGUGGGGAUGACGUCAAAUCAUCAUGCCCCUUAUGACCUGGGCUACACACGUGCUACAAUGGAUGGUACAAAGGGUCGCGAAACCGCGAGGUGGAGCUAAUCCCAAAAAACCAUUCUCAGUUCGGAUUGCAGGCUGC